rnacentral:lncRNA from 1 species
GGGGUCAUCAGUAAGGCACUCAAUCACCUUAAUAUCCUGUGACACCCCUUAUAAGGCUGCUGUUAUGUUCUGGUGGUUGUCAGGAAUAAAUGUACAACAUUGCGUCUCUACAAGGGCACAGCUGCCACAUUGGGCAGCUCUGACCAUGUCUAAGGCCAUCCGGUUUUGCAGAACCAACUUCCUGAUCUGAUUGACUUCAUCAGUUAACAAAAAGGAGAGCAACUCGGGUGUAAUUCAGGGCCCAAACUGUGUGCUCUGCAAGGGCUGUAACUUGCAUUUCUACAGUAGCGACACCUGCUCUAGGGAUAGUUAUCGCUUAGGGGUAGAGUCACUAGGGGGCUUGCUGAACUCGUAAAAACCAGGAACAUAGCACCUUCCAGUUAGGUGGAUGACUAGGCAAUGUGGGAAACACAGUGGCAGGCACAGAAAGCCACCCCCAGGUACAACGUCCAGUCCAAUUGGCUGGUAGAUAUGGCCAUCCUGUGUCCCCACAGACCCAUAAACUCCCUGGGGGCAUAAAGUCCAUGAAGGUCCAGCCUUGGUAAGGCAACUUAUUCCACCACACCCUUGGUUUCGCGGCAUGUGUUAUGUUUGCACAAACCUCAGCAAUAAUCCCUCAGUGACUUUACCCCAGUGCUCCCCUAUACAUCAUGGUACCUGCAAUGGGGGCACCACAUGUUUUCCCGUUAGCCAGCCCCAUCCAUCAUGGACACUAUAAGUCAGCCAGUGGCAGGCUUGCCAUGGGUUUUGGGACGUCCCCCUAUCCAAAGCCCACCAUUGCAUUGUCUAUUGAACACCAAGUCUCUAGCCAUGUCCAGUUCUGCACAGAAGCUGGAUGCACGUUCCAGGGCAAGCUGCCUGCAGCUGCUGCUGAAAGGGUGGUGCAGAUACAACAGUUGAAGACAUUGGUCACCUCAGUGUAGGUGUGGGCCCAGAACAUGAUGCUGUUGGAGCAUGCCACCUAUGGCUGGAAUGACAAAGCAAGCACAGGUACUAACAGGGGUAAAUCAUGUCCCUCAGGCAAAAUACAGGCCAACUUUUCACCUCUCGAUAACAGUGCAGCCACCAAGGGCAUUUGCCCUGGGUGAUGAUACCACACCUUAUCAGCUCCCUGUGGUCCUUUUGGGUGCUGUACCCAUGCCAAACACACAGGGGAGCUUAUGCUAAGCCACACAGACAGUACACAUGCCCUCUGGAGGAGAGUCUCUUCCCUGGCCGUUCCCCUAUGCAUGGUUAAUUGUGGAGGCCACACAUUAAAUACCCAAGGAGUAACAUGUAAGUUAUACUGCAGCCCCUCCCCCCAGGGGGCUAUGAUAGCCAACCAUCUGCAAUGAGGUGCUUGGAGGGUCCAUGGCUAACACCAGGUUUUUCUGUUCCCCUGCCUUUAGGGGUACUGGGGCAGGCAAUAACAGAUUACUGUUCAACCCUGUACCUGGUUGGAGAAGGUUGUUCUUCCUCUCAUAGAUCUGGCCACAUGGCCUGGCCCUACAUGGGUCGAUGACUAACUAGCUAAUUCUGUAACUUCUAGGUAAUUAACCACAAAGUUAAGCCUUGAUAAAUUGCCUAGCUACUAGUACAGAUUACCACAGGUGUCAUCUCCUUGGUGAUCACAGUCCAUAUUGCCUUGAGUUCAACUUAUUAGCUACUUUAUUUACACCUGGUUUUAAACCAUAUUGUGUCAGUACUAGGCUGGACUGUAGCAGCAAUCCAGGCAGCAGCAGUACUCUGGCUAUACCUACCUGUAUACUAUGCCUCAUUAGGAAUGGGAGGAUGCCCUUCCUUAUGGUAAAGGCUCAGGGUCUAGAGGUGCCUCAGACCCCAUGACUUUAUCUUGCAUUAGGACUAUAGGCUUCAAGACCUAUUGUAAUUUUACUCCUAAGAGACCAGUACUCAGUGUACUCUGCUGCUCUAAGUAGGUGCCCCACUUCGCUAAAGUGGAUGUCUGUGCCUUCCCUAUCCAGGGGGUUGUUUCCCAUGAAUGCCCAAUCUCACAAUUACUAACUGCUUCUCUAUCAAGGAAUACUGGGGCUCAGCUCCCUUCCACAGCUGGGAACAAAAGCCUAUUGGCAUACUCAGGUGCUCUAUGCACUGCUAUAGGCCCUAACUGAAACUCUGUUGUCACAGGCACAUCUAGUUUAAAUGGGCACCUCUGGUCCACUACCCGUAUGGCUUGUGCCUGCUAAAUAGCCCGCUAGGCUACCAGAAAGACUGUCUCAGGAGCAUCAUCCCAAUCCCAGGCAAGAAGAACAUUGCCACUUCUAAAUCUGCAGGAGAAUCAGAGGUUAACAUGACAUCAUUAAUAAAAUAAUGACACGUGGUGGGGCUAUGAAUAUAGCCCUGCAGCAACACUGUGAAAGUCCAUUGUCACCCUCCCAUGAAAGCAAACUGUUCCUGCCUCUCUGGAACAAUGUCGACUGAGAGGAAUGCAUUGGUCAAUUCCACCACAUAGUGGCAUUGUCUCAGUUCUGUUGUCAAGAAGUUCAUCAAAUCCAUGAUAGAAGGUACAGAUACAUGCAGAAGGAGUAUUACUUUAUUCAGUUUCCGAUAAUCCACUGUUAUCUGCCAAAUCCCAUCAGGCUUUCUGACUGGCCAUAAUGGAAAAUGGUAGGGGCUAUGGAUGCCACACACUAUUUGCACCUCCUCUAACUUCUUAAUAGUCUCAGUUACCUCUGUAUUCCCCCCUGGCAAACGGUACUGAUGAGUGGAAGUAACCUGUCAGGGUUGUGGCAGAACUUGGGGCUGGUGAUGUGUAUGUUCACCCAGUACUGGCUUUACUGCAUGGACUCAGAAUCUGGAUUCUCUGGCCGUGGUGUGCAAGCCCAGACCAUGCAAAAUGUCCACCCCCAGAAUAUAUUCAGGUAUAGGAGAAACAUACACAGUGUACAGGUGGGGAGCCAAGCGGCCAAUGCCAAGAUGCAGAGACACAGGCUUCACCUUCACCGACUGGCUCCCAUAACCGUCCAUAAAUGCAGCUUUGCCUAGAAAUUUAUCUGGGUUCCCAUAAACUAGACUGCAGUCUGCACCAGUAUCUAUCAGUGCUAGGACCCGCGGUACAUUAGUGGGGGACCAGUGGAUUGCCAGCUCCACAUAUAGCCUCUGGUUGUCUAGUUCCCCCUGCCAAGCUGGCGACCUCGGCCAGUUCCCUAAUCAAACAAGAAAGGCUCUGUAUCUCUGCCUGUCUGCAAAUAGUCCUUGAGUUGCAGCGUCUGGGAGGGAUUAGGUUGAACAACAUUGUUUUGCCCCCCACACCUUAGGCAUUUUCUGGAAUUGCUGCUCCCGGGACAAUUGCCUUCACAGAGUCAACAACAUUCCAUUGGGUUGCCCGUCAAUUUUCUCCCGAGCAACCCCAGCUGCAAGUAAAUCAAUCCACAUCUGCAUGCAGGUCACCUCCUGGAGCCCCUUUUUAUCUGGUGGGGUGGUUAACUGCGGAUGAGGCAUUUUCUCCCUCCUUACGGUGCGGAUUCUCCGGUCCUGCGAAUGGCCUUCUGCCUCCCUGAGGGCUGCCAGAGCAGUAGUCACUUCAUGUAUGCGGCACCCCACAUACUGGGUGAGAACAGCGGCUAGAAAGCCAUAAGGGUUCGGGGUGCUGAACUCAGCACAAGAUCCCUCAUGUGGGAGGUAAAGCGUUCAUCAUCUGGCCCCAUGGUAAUCAGACCAAACAUAGCCUGCCGCAUACCUAUCUCCAAGAGUAUCUGCACCAAAUUAGUAUGUGAUUGCCAUUUACUCACAGUUUGUAGUAUCUCUCUGGCAUCAUUGAAAACAGUCCAUAUGACUGUCAUUAGCCACUUGAUUAAUGUGUGGCCACCUUGCUCUUGUGCCAACCGUUGGCACAGCUGCAGCUGCUGACGAAGGGAGGGGUGAGUUGUGAUAGAAGUCAGCUUCUCCAUCUCAGAGGCGGAACAAAAAAUGCUAUCAGCUCCCUCAGACGCUGCCGGCACUAUUUACCUAAUUCCCACAACUCACUGGGGUUAUAAGCAUAAUAAGAGGCGUGUUCCACCACUGUGGACGGGGUCCCUGGGCUUUCCCCUAGGGUCCCAUCAGCUGCUUAUGUUCUACCUUCUGACGGAUCACAGGAGGAGCCUGCAGCGGAGGAGCCUCCUCCUCCUCAGCAUCAGACCUAAAGGGAGUGUCCUGCCUGAAGGACCGGCUCAAGGUCGCACUAACAGCUCUUGCUAACUCCUGUUCCAGGCUGUUUAUCUGGGCCUCCAAGUACCCUGCUUGCGCCUGGAGGUCUCUCACCCCCAGGUCCUGCUCAAAGCUGUGCACUUGGGCCCCCAGGCAUGCGGCUUGCUCCGGAAGGUCCCUUACCUGUGGCACUGAGCAUGUACUUCCUGCAGUGCAGUUAGAAAUGCCCAUCCGACUCUGCUUGCAAAGACAUCUGCAAUGGCAGUUCACAUGGCUCAGAUAGCUCACUUCUGCAGAGAGCUGAAUUUAAGUGGGACAGGGUAGCAAGAAUAAUUACUUUGACAAUCAUUUUGCCACCUGAUGACUGUGCUGCCUGUCCUGAGCUGAGUGCAGAGAGGGAGACACCCUUACAAAUGGAGAUUUGCUGGAUAGAAAUGUGGCCAAAGAGUUCAAUAAAAGGUUCCUUUAUUUAUAGGCACAGCUGCUUAAAGACUGUUACCGGAAAGGAAUCCUGAUCCAGACGCCAAGAGAGGGUUCUUGGACUCAUGCAAGAAAGACUUCAGAAUACGAGUUUUGAAUUUUUGAAUUGCUGUUAAAACUUUCAUCAUGAACACUGAAGUGAGUGAAAAGAGACUUUUGCAGUCAUUUUUUUGCUGGCUGCAGAUGACAGUGACACCCUGGGAGUUGAGAAAUGCUUGUAAGAUGGAAGGAGGCUGUGUCCCUGAAUGAUCACCUGGAAGAGAGCCACCUUAGCCAAUGAAACUCCUGCUAUGAAUGUUUGCUGAGCAAGAAAUAUACUUACUGCUUUAUAUGCCUUUGAAGCUAUAGGUUCAUAUUGUUACCACAAUUUAAAGUGCUAUAAUAAAAAGAGUUCAGGAAGCAGGCACAUGGAAGCAAUAAGAGCAACAAACAUUUACACAGUUCUCAGGUCCCUGGACCAUGAAGGGCCACAUCCAAGGAGCUACCCCAGGAGGCCUCUCAUUUGCAUUUGUCCCCGCUAAUGCAGGACAGAGAUCAUGGAAGUUGGGCCCGACUGGAUGAGAUUUGGGGGUCUUUGGAAGUGGAGAAUGUGUUUGCCCUGGGGAAGAGAGGUGAUGUCUAGGAGACCUCUUCACUCAGGGCAAGCUCUAUGACCUGCUUUGACUCCAGAAUGUGGUAGAAGUGGCAUCACAUAAAUUGCAGAGCCUAGGCUUCAAGAGACCUUGCAACUUGCCUCUCACUGACUUGAAGUGCUCCCAUCAGAGCAUCUUGUAAGGAGCAGGUGGAGCAUGUGGACAAGCCAUCCCCACCAGCCCCUGAGACAUGUGAGAGAGGCCAGAACAGGCCAUCCGGACCCCACUGUGCUGGUGGAUGAGACAGCAGAAGGAAUAUCAACCUACCAACAGAAUCCUGAGAAAUGCUCACUCUUACUUCAAGCUGCUGCAUUUUGAUGUUAUGAAACCAUAAAUAACUUAUGAAGUCAUCUUUGCUGACUUAAAGUUUUCCAUAACUUUAUUAUAACAUAUCAAAAUUAUGAAAAAUGUGAAAAGUAGAAAACUGAUGAAUUUUGCUUCUUCAUAUGGUCUUUAAGAAUCUCAAAGGCACUGAAGUUUUUUAUCUUUUCUGUCUUAGAAUAAAAAACCUUGAAUGAAAAUCUGCUUCUUGGAAAAGCAGCAAGGUUUAUGCAGAGGCAAUCUGGUAUUUGUGUGCACUGGCAGCUGAUCAUACCCAGCAUGCACGCACUCUCAGGGCAGAGUCUGAUGCCCCACAUAAUGGGGCAUGGUAAGGACUCCCAUGUCCUUGAGAUAAAAUGAUAAGGAAAAUACACACUGCUAUUAGAAUAACAGGCCCAGCUUCUGCACAUUUUAAUUCCCAAAGUUUUCAUGAAAGACAAUGAUUUUUUGGUACCAUGUUUAACUCUACAAGAAUCAGUAGUGAAAACUAAAAAUGAUACUUUGUGAAAGUUCAUUAAUUUUGUUUUCAGCCAGUGGUGGCCUUGGUCAGAUAGAAUCAAAUCUAUGAUACUUUUUAUCAGAAAUGCUUAUACUGUGUACAAACCCAAAGUGAUGGCUUUCAAAGAUUGAAUUUGAUUAUUUUCUGUAUGGUGCAGAUGAAAAAUUACUACACAGGAGAAGGUGGGUUGGAGGUGCUCACGAGUAACCAGGAAACAGUCUGAAGUUUUUCUGAUACUUCUCCUUGGUCCAACCAAAUGUGAGAUAUAAACACAAACUUGGGAUUCCGUUCUUAUGUUUUGGUUGUUUCAGUCUUUACAGAUGUAUCGAAAGGCUGUCCAAAAAUGUCUGACUUCUGUAGUGUGCCUUCGUAGCACUAGAGGGUUCUGCAGCUGUGAAACUGAAGGCAUUGGCAAGAAGCCCUCCAUCUUCAAACCACUUUCUGCUAAGGUGUGGCUCUAUAAAACCACUAUGAGCUGGGCUUCACUGAGACUGAGUUGUUUCAGUAGGAUCUUCCGGAAAAACAUGUUCCCUCCUUUACCUGGGUUGUCAUUCUGAGAACAAUCACACCUCCAAUUUUGGCUUACUAAGCAAUAGCGUUUUAAUGAUUUUAAGCCAGGAUUUGCUCCUCCUUUCCUCAGUAUGAGAGCUUAACCACUGGAGGAACCAAGAAUUCAUGCUGGUUGGGUUCUGAUUCCACUUUAACUUACUGUAUAGCCUCAUCCCUUGUUUUUCUGGAGAUUCUCUUUUUCUGCUUCACUGAUUUAUAUUUACAUUAAAAUCAAAUGAGGCCAUGUUUCUGAAAUCACAUUGUCCCUACAUGGUCAUUACAAUGAGUCUGUAAUGUGACUGAAAGACAGCCAUGGAUACAGGUAGAGGAUAUCAGGCAAUUGAAUGCUCAUCAAGCAUUCAAUUCAGGGCAAAUGGCAUAAGGUAUGCAGUUGGCCUCUUCUGAUAUCUGUGUCUUAAUCCUUUCUUUAGCCUCUGUUUUCUGGACCAAGGCUAAGAUAUUUUCUGGGCACAGUGGCUCAUGCCUAUAAUCCCAGCACUCUGGGAGGCCAAGGUGGGAGGAUUUCUUCAGCCC